CUUAUAAUUCCAAAAAUAUUUAAGGUGUAUGUAAGCAAGUUAAUACACACAGAGAAUUAUUCCUAUACUACAUUUAAUAUAUAUUAGUUUGCUUAUUUGAAUCAGAAUUGCCUGGGGAACUGUUAGAUAAUAUAUGUGUCUCUACCCUAUGAAGACUUACUUGGUAUUUGUAUUUUGAAAAAAAAAAUAACUGCCCUUGGUUAUUUUGGUGGGUUCCUCUUGUUGAGAACCACUAGUGUAAGAUAGAUCUGUUCAGAGCCAUGGGACACAUCAGGAAGCCACUGGGCCCAAGUCCAGGUGAUUUGGACAGAAAAGCAGCUGCAUGGAUCCUUCUGCGAGCUGUGAGCAAUCGGUUCCACCAUCCACAGUUAAGGGCAUCUGCAACCACUCAGCUGAUAAGUCUAAAGGCCUCCUGUAGGUCAGAACCUGACAGAGCAUGACGUGGAACACAAGAGGCAUGGGGAGGCGUCUUGAUAUAGACAGGGUGCGUGGCUCACUAAUGGAUUGAUAUCCUAUACCUCCAGUCAUUCCCCUUUUUCUUCCCCUCAUUCACGCAGAUAAUCACAUAUUGAAUAUCUUUCAUUUUGCUUUAUGGUGUCUAUUUCCUUAUAUGAUGGAGUAACUCGAGUGUUUGAUGUCAUUGUUGUUAUUUUGUGUCUGCCCAGGAGGUAGUUGAGAACCAGCUGUGUAUGAAUACCAGGCUUCUACUGUUUCUAGGUAUGCAAACUCACAGGGCUAGGUGAGGAGAGAGGUCACAGCAGGGGAGCCGGAUUUGGGAGGCGCGUUAAAGGCAGAGGGUACACUCUGGAUCAGAUCUGUAAUCUGUAAUAAUGCAACAUGUUGAGAGGACCAGCAAUCCUGGGGUGGCAUGGCUGGGCUUUGAGGACAUAUUGAUGUACCAUGCUCCUUUCAUGAUACAAAAAUGACUUUCAUGCAAUUCAUUCUUGUGUGAAGGUCCAUGGUGGAUCUAGAAGACAAAAUCAUGAGGUAUUUUGCCAGUUUCAAUAACCAAGUUUUUGGGGAGAAAACGAAUGGCUGGAGUGGGGGGGGGUGGUGAAAGCCUGGAAGGCGGUGAAAUCUGAGGGGAUGCUGGCUUCCCUCCAGCUGAAGCAGGCUCUUGUGAAGGCUGGGCUAGAAUGGCCUGUCCAUCAUCGCAAACUGGCGGGUGUUCCCAGAAGAGCCGCUGAGGUGUGAGAGAAACUGCCUUGUUACCAGGAAUGUGGGAAAGAGUGGAGGUUUUAUGUAUAAUUUCCUUUUCUCAGAAUCCAAAAUAGUCAUAAAUAAGCCCAAAGAGGCAACAGGCAGGAGAAUGAAACAUGAAUGCCUAUCAUUUCUGAGGAGCUAGAAACUGAGAAGAAUUCAAAUAGAUCUUUCACUGUGGAUUUGGACUCCGAAGUAACUUGGCCAAAGCUAAAUGUAGUCAGUUUACAAAAAGGGCUCUGCAAGGUGACAUAAUGCCACAGAGAUGAAGAUUUUCACAGUGGAAAAAACAGGUUUGGCACAGACAAGCUCUAAACUCUUUGGAAAUCAUAAUCCUGUACUCUCCACAGAUCCUUGAGAGUUAAAGGCUAAGACUGUUAGAACAUCAUGACAGG
ensembl:lncRNA